UUUCUCAAAGUAAAAUUUACAUUUAAUUUCGACUUAAACUUUGUUUUUAAUAAAACUGGGAACU
rnacentral:tRNA from 1 species